rnacentral:tRNA from 1 species
GGGGGCGUAGCUCGGAUGGUAGAGCACUCGCUUAGCAUGCGAGAGGUAGGGGGAUCGAUACCCCACGCCUGCA